AAUUGACGGGGGCCCGCACAAGCGGUGGAGCAUGUGGUUUAAUUCGAUGCAACGCGAAGAACCUUACCUGGUCUUGACAUCCACAGAACUUUCCAGAGAUGGAUUGGUGCCUUCGGGAACUGUGAGACAGGUGCUGCAUGGCUGUCGUCAGCUCGUGUUGUGAAAUGUUGGGUUAAGUCUCGCAACGAGCGCAACCCUUAUCCUUUGUUGCCAGCGGUCCGGCCGGGAACUCAAAGGAGACUGCCAGUGAUAAACUGGAGGAAGGUGGGGAUGACGUCAAGUCAUCAUGGCCCUUACGACCAGGGCUACACACGUGCUACAAUGGCGCAUACAAAGAGAAGCGACCUCGCGAGAGCAAGCGGACCUCAUAAAGUGCGUCGUAGUCCGGAUUGGAGUCUGCAACUCGACUCCAUGAAGUCGGAAUCGCUAGUAAUCGUGGAUCAGAAUGCCACGGUGAAUACGUUCCCGGGCCUUGUACACACCGCCCGUCACACCAUGGGAGUGGGUUGCAAAAGAAGUAGGUAGCUUAACCUUCGGGAGGGCGCUUACCACUUUGUGAU
rnacentral:rRNA from 1 species